rnacentral:tmRNA from 1 species
GGGGUUGACUGGAUUUGACGGCAAGAUGAGAUGGUAUGUAAGCAUGCGGAGGCUCGUUGGCUACCUCCUUAAUCUGAGUGAACAAAAAAUUAAUUGGCGAAAGAAACUACGCUCUCGCUGCCUAAUCGAAGCAUAGUAGAUUACUGGCUUUAUUCCGUCACAAGGUGAUGGAACGAGACAUCGCUCCAAGGAUGUUGUUCCGAAUCUGAGGGUUCAGCGGUGCAGGUAAAUCGGAAAUAGUCGUGUUGAGCCUCGGCAGCACGAUGAAAUUCAGAGGAUAAGGUAUCGAUUGGUGGUCCAGGUCUUGUCGAUGCUCGAAAACCAAAGUCUGGAAUAAGCAUGUAGAAAGCGUAUGGUUUCCUUGUGCGGACGCGGGUUCGAUUCCCGCCAGCUCCAC